GCCCGGUUAGCUCAGUCGGUAGAGCAUUCGGCUUUUAUCCGACCUUCGAGGAGUUGAUGACCGAAAUGUCGGGGGUUCGAGCCCCCCAUUGGGCG
rfam:Puccinia sorghi strain RO10H11247 Scaffold_3021, whole genome shotgun sequence.